AUGUUCUUUUAGAGUCAUUUGUUAUUGCCUUUAUCCAAUACAAAGUAUUUUCACCAGGAUUAUAAAUUGAGAGAGCCCUCCUAUGGUUACUCUCAAAAGUUGGAUUUCAACUCUGGCUCUCCUUGCAUGCCAAUGCUACACGUGCAUGUGAGGCCUCGCUGUUCCACCAGAUGCGUGGUGCUCUGCCCAUUAAUCAGGCUGAUCAGGUCAUCAGAUGGGUUAUCAGUGCCGUCAAAUGUGGACUUCUGUCAAUUGUUUUUCCGUUAAUUUAUACAUGUUGCCUGUGGUGAUUACCAGAACAACCUGAUUUUGGGCAACGGCACCUGAUUAAUGAACCAGAUCUUGCGAGAGUAGGCGUUCAAGAUCACUCUACCAAGUAGCCAUGCAUUUCUCCAUAUCAAUGUUAGCCAUCCAAGGAAGUAUCAGAAAGAACAAGUAAACAUAUCUGUUCAAUCAAAAUCUCAGUAGCUUCCAUGGAGAAUUGCCACUGCCGACAAGUCAGCUUCCAGUGAUAAGCAUGAGAAACUGCUCAUAAGCUCUUUAUGGCCAAAGCAUAGAGCCCUAAUCUCCACCUUGGAAUUGCAAAUCCCAAUUCGACCUGAAAAUACUGAGUUACCCUGCCACAUGAUCUCUAGUGAUCCCAACCAUGCCCACUCAGACCUGAUUGCCUGCAAAAUUCCCCUCAAAAUACAAGCAAACUAUGUACAUACAUAGGAGCAAUGAUCACCUACAACCAGUUUCCGGUCAGGUUAACAUGCAAACUAUUUUUUAUAGCUUAGAUUACUUCGUAAAUCUUGUUUCCAGUUUUGCCCAUAGAAAACUGGUUGCAAUUUAAAGAUACAACCAAUUGUGUGUGUGCCCAGACACAUACACCCAGACACCUAUACCAACUGGACACUUAUACCCUUUGGGUUUUUGCUGGGCCAAUACUUGGAGACACUUGGACACUCCCGGACACAGCAAAGCAUGUCAUCUGUAUGACAAAUGUCCUAGUGACGUCACACUUAAAUUCAGGCGUCCAAGCAUCUCUCACGAAGCUUUCCUCACAUCCCCCCCACUCUGUAGAUGUUAGUUCAUUUUUUCAUUAUAGACUUGUAGGUACAAUGACCCAUAUAGCAAAACAGCACAAAUUUUGUUGUCUUCUUGCUCUUUUGUUCUUUCACUGUGGUUUCCUAAUUUCAAGUCGUGUUCACACAAACUACUGUCUUUUGAAAUGAUUAUGCACGAUUUUCAUGUUUGGCUAUUUUUUUUUUUUAAACUUUUUUUUUUUAAAUUUUUUUGAGAAAGUUAUCGGAUCAUUGUCAUCAUCUAAUCCUUAUCCCAAUUAAUUGGGGAUUGGCUACAUGUAUCCUUUUCCACCAUUCCAGUCUAUCAAGCGCCAUAACUUCAGUUGGACCAUAGGUCAUCAAGUUUUUUCUUACUGCCUCCACCUACGUCCCUUUGGGCCUUCUCCUUGCCCUUUUAGAGGCUUCUACUUGUACAACUCCUAACUGGUCCAGUUCUUGCUAACUGCAAACUGAAAAUUCCCCGAGUGUUUCUUGGCCUCAGCCUCUCCAACUAUGGUCGCUCUAAACUACAGCGAACUCCACAGAAUGUUCCUCCAAUUCCUCCACAGCUUUCUCAAAGAGAUAACAGUGAAGUCUUUGUGAUUUAGGGCACGAGAAAACUUGCUUGCAUAUGGUGGUCCGUGUGGGAAGAAAGAAAUGGUAGAUGCAUGAGAAAACUUGCGGAAUGAAUUUGGGGAAACAAAGGACAUUAUUAUGGAGAGUGUCCUUGCUGUAUGGUGGUCCAUGUGGGAAGAAAGAAAUGGUAGGUGCUUUCGUAAUGAGAGCAAGUCGGUGGAGGCUACUUCUCAAAGGGCGAGGUUGUUAAUUAUCGAGUGAGCCUCCACUAUCGAUAAGCUUAAGGGUUGUAAUCUUCUUUUUCUUGGGGUGUAGCUGGGCCACUAUCUCAGCGGCUCAGCUUGGCUUCUUUGCAGCUUGGUUUGGUUCCUGUUUUAAUAAAAAAAAAUUGUUAUCUUUCAAAAAAAAAAAAAACUUGCUUGCUGCUAUUCUCUCUGCAAUCUCAAGGACAGGCAACUUUUCACCCUAAAAAAAUUGUCUGUUUCUUUUGAGCCAAACUCCCAACAGAGCUAGGGGCAAGAUCUUCUACAAAAUUCUGCCCUUGAUUAAAAAGACAUUUGGACCAACUCUCCAACACUUCCAGCACCCUUUGCCGAAUCGGCCAAUACAUCCCAAACAAUUUGAAGAAGCCACAGACCAUCUUGCGGGCCAUUGUGCAGAAGGUGAUUUAUGGAUGCAUCUUCCCUCUUACAUAUAACACUUGUUGGGCAUUGAGGAACCUCUUUUCUUGAGCUGAUCAACAUCAAGAAUCCUUUCUUUGUCUGCCGUCCACAUGAAGGCUACAAUGCAUGGGAGGCAACCGUAGGCUGCAAGAAGGUAGGAAACGAUGCUCCACUGGACCUGUGAGCUUCUGGAAGUAAUGCUGUAAACUCACCCGAUUCGAUUGCUGAUUCUAUCCCUUUCCAAAAUUUACAAUCAGCUGCAUCUCUAAUGCCUUGGACUGGUUCCUAACAUGGUAUACCAAAAUGGUUAUGUAACAGUAACUGUGGUAAUUGUUAUGCGUUAGGGAGCCAAAGUGGCUGUUAGAAAAGAGAAAAAAAAAGGCCCGUAAUGGCCCCGUAAUGGGGCCAAAACCAUUUUUUUUUUUUUUUCAAAAAAAGAGGAAAAAAAAAAAAAGAGAGGCUGUAAUGGUCAUUACGGCUUGUAUCAUAAUGGUAACGGUGGUAGCUGUUAUGGUCACCGUUAUCGUUAUGGAAUAACUUGGUUCCUACACUUUCAUGAAGUCUGUAAAUUAUGACAUUUCUUCCUGACAUUAAUCUGAUGUUCCAGCUAAUUGAUUAUUCAUUGGUUUA